GGAGGGGUGGCAGAGUGGUUGAACGCGCUACCUUGGAAAGGUAGUAUAUGCGAAAGCGUAUCGGGAGUUCGAAUCUCCCUCCCUCCG
rnacentral:tRNA from 4 species